rnacentral:rRNA from 1 species
UGCGCCUUGCCAGCCCGCUCAGAAACUCAAAGGAAUUGACGGGGCCCGCACAAGCGGUGGAGCAUGUGGUUUAAUUUCGAUGAUACGCGAGGAACCUUACCUGGGCUCAAAUGUAUGUUGACGUAUUCUGAAAGGGAUACUUCUUCGGACAAUAUACAAGGUGCUGCAUGGUUGUCGUCAGCUCGUGCCGUGAGAUGUUGGGUUAAGUCCCGCAACGAGCGCAACCCUUGUCCUUAGUUACCAGCACGUUAUGGUGGGCACUCUAAGGAGACUGCCGGUGACAAACCGGAGGAAGGUGGGGAUGACGUCAAGUCAUCAUGGCCCUUACGGCCUGGGCUACACACGUGCUACAAUGGUCGGUACAAAGGGUUGCCAAGCCGCGAGGUGGAGCUAAUCCCAUAAAACCGAUCGUAGUCCGGAUCGCAGUCUGCAACUCGACUGCGUGAAGUCGGAAUCGCUAGUAAUCGUGAAUCAGAAUGUCACGGUGAAUACGUUCCCGGGCCUU